rnacentral:rRNA from 1 species
CAGUCGCCGCGGGAAUACGUAGGGUGCAAGCGUUAAUCAGAAUUACUGGGCGUAAAGCGUGCGCAGGCGGUUUGUUAAGACGGAUGUGAAAUCCCCGGGCUCAACCUGGGAACUGCAUUCGUGACUGGCAAGCUAGAGUAUGGUAGAGGAGGGUGGAAUUCCACGUGUAGCAGUGAAAUGCGUAGAGAUGUGGAGGAACACCGAUGGCGAAGGCAGCCCCCUGGGCCAAUACUGACGCUCAUGCACGAAAGCGUGGGGAGCAAACAGGAUUAGAUACCCCCGUAGUCCCUGUCUCUUAUAC